GGAAAGGUUGAUUGCGCAAAAUCCAAUUGUAGAGAUGUUGUUGUUUCUUCAAAGAUUAGGGUCUGUUGUUCGCAUUAAGAUAAUAAGAUAAGAUAUGUUGUUUUUCUCGAUCACCAGCACAUUUUGGUUAUGUAGUGUGGCCAGUGUGGGUACUAAUUUGCAAUUGUGGGUAUCAAGGCAUGUGAUAGGAAUAGUGCAGGUAGAGAUACUAAUUUAUUGUGUCAGCUUCCUUGAUCAACACUCUGCUGGGAUCAGUUCAACGCUUUAUAAAGAGGAUACUCUUACACCAGCAGUUGUCAUAACUAAAAGACUCUAUAGCUAAGUUCAAGGAUGUUUACAUGGAACAGUUUGAUAAGGACGGUGAUGGUCUUAUUGAGAGUGAUGGCAAACUUGCGAUGUUGGGACAGUUCAUGACAUUAGUGCUUAUUGUGGAUGCUUAUGGCUUGCUGCUCUCGAAGUUGCUGCUUCAAUGGGGAAAGGGAGAAGAAAUUGUAAACCUUCAUGAAGUAACUGAGGACCCCAGGCCAGUGCUACUUCUAUAUUUUCCUUGGACGACUUUGAAGCGCUGGGAAGUUCCCGUGCAUCAUCAACAAGUCCUCCAGUACUUGGUGAAAGGACGUGAUUCUCAGAAAUAACACACUUAGGUUUUGCUUCUGGGAUUGGUUCUCCUACAGGCUGCUGGUACUUUAAAUAACAUAGAAGCGAGAAAUGAUAUUGUUGUUCCAACUGGGUAGAGGAGCAGCCUUACUUUGCCAGUAUCAUAUCCACGACCAAACCUGCCACUGGGGGUGUGGAAGCUGACAAGGCAAAUGUGGUGGGAAAGAAAGGGAAGAACCCAAGUCGAGUCCUUUUGUCAAAUGAAGGUGGUCUUGCUAUUAAAUAUUUUGCUGAAGGUCUCACCAUGUCCGUCAUUUUAGUGUCUUUGUUUUACUAAGAGCUUACAUUUUUGCUUGAAAGAUUGUAUAUAAAUUUGAAAGUAAAUGCGUAAAUCAUCAUGUACGGAAGAAAAUUGAGUAGACUAAUGUAUUAUGAAAAUAAUUUGAGCACAAAA